UGACUUAUUCCUUCUUGUUUGAUGAACUAAAAAUAUCUCUUCCUCUAUUUCCUUAGCCAUGGGCAUGUCCAUGACCAAGUCUAUGAUUAUUUUUCAUUACCAAAAUUUUCUUCAUUCUCUUUUAAAGUAACUUUUUUUUAAGAACUUAUAUAAUUUUCUUGGUUAUUUAUUUUUAAUCUCUCUUUAUGGCUUCAGUGAUCCCCAUAAGUUGAUUGAUAGUUAUAGAAUCUAAAUCUUUAGUCUCUUCAAUGACCAAAUCAAACUUUGAAUCUAAAGACCAAAAUAUGCUUUAAUCACACGAGUGUCAUUCAAACUUUCACCAUUUCUUUUUAAUAGAUUAACAAUAACUAAUACUCUUGAAAAUUGAUUGGAGAUUGAUUCUUUUUUAAACUUGAACCCAAAGAUUUUUUUUUUCUUCAAACGGGUUGAAAAUAAGGACUAUGCAAAAAUAAUUAGUAACUAUUUCGAGUUUGAAUCUAAAGAUUGAAAUAUUUUUCUAAUCAACUGAGUGUCUUUCAAACUUUCACCUUGUCUUUUUAAUAGAUUCACAAUCACUAAUACUCGUGAAAAUUGAUUGGAGAUUGAUUUUUUUUUUUUUUUGCCUUCAAAUGGGCUGAAAAUAAGUACUAUGCAAAAAUAAUUAGUGACUAUUUUGAGGAAUCAGGCCUGCCAUUAAUGUCAGUAUUUUUGUCUCUAGAGUAGGAUCUGCGGCUCAAAUUAAAGCCAUGAAACAAGUAGCUGGAAAAUCAAAAUUGGAACUGGCGCAAUUCGCAGAAUUAGAAGCCUUUGCACAAUUCGCUUCUGAUCUUGAUAAAGCUACUCAUAGUCAAUUGGAGAAAAUUUAUCUGAGAGACCAGCAUACAGAAUUAUCUCCAAGUAGCCUUUGCCUUGGGAUUAGAACUUUCAGUUGAUAGAUGGAAAUGGACGGUUCAUGAAGGUAUGCUGUCUAAAUAUCAGGGAUUCUAUUAAGGUAUCUAGUUGAAUUCGCUCCUUUGCCACUGGUGCUGAGAUCUCACAAGCUUGCAUUUUACAGGCAGAUCUCUGAAUUGAGAAAGAUAUGAUUUGUUAAGACAUUUAAUAGUAACCAUGCCAAGUGUAAUUGAUUUGCUUAACUUUCUCAUUCUUACUAUAUGGUUUCAAUUUUUUUAUUUUUUUUUAUUUUUUUUAACUUGGUUCAGAGCUUGCAUUGUGUUAUUUUAUAUUAAUGGAUUCUUGUCUAGGGUUUUUACUCUUUUGAAUCA